UCCUGCCAAGCAUCGGCUUGGUUUUUUCCCUUUUAGCCUGCGGGCGCCGAAUUCUGCGGAGCGCCAGAAGGCUAAAAGGGGAAAAACUGAGCCAACGUUUGGCAGGA